rnacentral:rRNA from 1 species
UCUGGUGGUUAGAGCGGGGCGGAACCACCCGUUCUCAUCCCGAACACGGAAGUGAAAAGCCCUAGCGCAGACGAUACUGAGGGGGCAACCCUUUGUGGAAAAUAUGCCACUGCCAGGG